GAACGACUGGAGAUGAUCCUCACGGAUUGCCGAUGAUCCGGAUUCCGAGCGGAGGUACCAAGACGAACGGAAAUCCAUCGAAGUUUUAAUCUCCCACGAGACAACAUCCAGAUAUAUCAGGUUAGGUAUUAUUUCUUAUCAAUCCAAAUGGAUUUCUCAUCUCACGCAAUUUGGAUCUAAGAUUGCUAGGGCUUAGAUUCACUAACCUGACCCUAUAAAUUUCCUUGCACAUCGAUCGGUCUCCACAAUCAUCUGCCAUCGCAUCUAGAGUCCACAUAGCAAUCCUCCAUCCUUGCAUUUGCUAGCCACGCAAGACUCAGGGACAUCUUCUCCUAUUAUCAGACUGCAACCCGGACAUCUUACACAGCCGACUCUUUCUGAUUUGGGGAUUGGUCAGCAUAGUCUGCUGCAGCGCCAACACCAUCGGAAUCUACCCGCCUGCAGAAUCGGUCACCUUGCGGCGCACCUCCGUCGUCUUCGUAUCGACAAAUUCGAUAUCCUGAGCAACUCGCCAAUGAACCUAUUUUAGAUCUGGGAGACAGUAUGUGAACAAGUGACCAAUAACUGUACAAGUAGAUAAGCUGUACGAAGGACGCAGGAGGAAAAUGAGAACCUGGGAGAAAGAGUAUGAUCCAUUCCAUGGCUA